AAGUCGUAACAAGGUUUCCGUAGGUGAACCUGCGGAAGGAUCAUUAAUGAUUUUUAAAGCGAGUCGAGCGUUAAGCGAGGCUUGCGAAAUAUUUAAAACCCCACUCUUUUUAACUUUAAAAAAAAUAAAUCAUGAUACAUGAAUUUAAAAAAAAGAUCACUUUCAACAACGGAUCUCUUGGCUCUC
rnacentral:misc_RNA from 1 species